UACGUAGGGGGCUAGCGUUCUCCGGAAUCAUUGGGCGUAAAGCGCGUGUAGGCGGCCCGAUAAGUCCGCUGUGAAAGUCCAGGGCUCAACCCUGGGAUGCCGGUGGAUACUGUCGGGCUCGAGUCCGGAAGAGGCGAGUGGAAUUCCUGGUGUAGCGGUGAAAUGCGCAGAUAUCAGGAGGAACACCAAUGGCGAAGGCAGCUCGCUGGGACGUGACUGACGCUGAGACGCGAAAGCGUGGGGAGCAAACAGG
rnacentral:rRNA from 1 species